AAGAAGAAGAAGAAGAACAAGAAGAAGAAGAAGAAGAAGAAGAAGAAGAAGAGGAUGUGAAGGAAAGAAGAAGAAGAAGAAGAAGUAGAAGAGGAGAAGGAAAGAAGAAGAAGAAGAAGAAGAAGAAGAUGUAGAAGAAGAGGAUGAGAAGGAAGGAAGAAGAAGAAGAAGAAGAAGAAGAAGGAAAAGAAGAGGAGAUUUCAUUAGCAAUAUGAUUUUUUUUUCAUAGUUUGAACUAUCAAUGCUUUAUGUGAUGUGAUGUACUAAUUUUUUUCACUUGGUACAAUUUACAGGCUUUGUGCUAUUUCAAC
rnacentral:lncRNA from 1 species